rnacentral:rRNA from 1 species
UACGUAGGGGGCAAGCGUUGUCCGGAUUUAUUGGGCGUAAAGAGCGUGUAGGCGGCCAGGUAGGUCAGCUGUGAAAACUCGAGGCUCAACCUCGAGACGUCGGUUGAAACCAUCUGGCUAGAGUCCGGAAGAGGAGAAUGGAAUUCCCGGUGUAGCGGUGAAAUGCGCAGAUAUCGGGAGGAACACCGGUGGCGAAGGCGGUUCUCUGGGCCUUACCUGACGCUGAGGAGCGAAAGCGUGGGGAGCGAACAGG